ACAGUCACCUUGGCAAGUCGGCAAGGCAUUCAUUUUCGCCGGCUGCCAGUAGAGUAAAGUACUGCAACAAUCUAAUGAGGACUAUAAAGGAUUUCCGAUGUACGAAUAAAUAGAACAACAGAACGCAUAUAAACUUCAAAACAAUUAAGUGUGAUAUAUUAACUUUUAUAUAAAAUCUCAGCGCUGUUGCACGUUCUGAUAAGUUUGCUAACAUAUUAAAUUAGUUCAUGCUAAGCUAU